rnacentral:lncRNA from 1 species
UGUUCACAUCAAGCAGUGUUUGGAGGACUGCAAGGGAAUGUCCAUGGGAUUCUUAGUGAGGAUAAUCCUGAAGCAGCGGCACAUUCCAAGGGGCUAAUCUGCCCAAGUUCAUUGCUUACUUGAAACGUCUCUUGGGGGAAGAGCCAGGCAAGUGACUUUUUUUUCAGUGGGCGGUCAUAAGAGCAUUAUUAACGGGAUGACCAGCCCCGGCCACAGCAAAAUGAAAGCAACAGGAGCCGCUCCAGGGACUGCCGUUGCCACCAGCCAGAGUCAGUGCACAGGUAAAAUGAUUUCAGCUUAACUUUUCUCUUCUUUAACUUCUCAGCAUUGGAGCUGGGGACCUAGAGAAAGACCAAAUAGACAACCAGAGAGUUGUUGAGGGAAAGCAAAAGGUGCAAAUGGACAUAUGUGUUCAGUCCCUUUGGGUCUUGGUAUUUGCUGUAAUCAAGACAGAGAGUCUAUCUGAAAUAGAAAAAUGUGAACAUGAGGAGGGUGGUAAAGUCUUCCUUGUAAUUUGUUUCUAUAAAGUUAAUGUACUUUAAAAAAAAAAAAACAACCUUGCGAUUACUGGUCUGGGUUAUUGUCCCUCUAUAUUGCUCUGCUAAAAAAACGAUUGCAAUUGCUUUCUGAUGGAUUUCAUACAUUCUCUGUGUGUGUACUCAUAAACUACUCCCUCGCAGAGAAGGUCUGGUUUGUAGCUAGCCAGGACUGCACAGAAAGAAGAUUCAAAGUAGUCUAAAGUUGGAGUCUAAAGUUGUUGGCUGAGCCUUUGUGAAAGAAUUGAAACUUGCUUAAAUGAAAUUAUUCAAGUUUUCUUCUUCUUUUUAAGGCAAUAUUUACAACCUUCUUGUUUGGGUUUUGAUCAUUUUGAUGCUUUAUUGAUUGCACACUUCGUUUUCAAAAUUUGAACUUGUUUUAUUCUCUGAGGGUAAUUAUUAUACUGUGUUAAAAAAUGUGAGUGUUCUCAUUUUUGUUCUGAAUAAGAUGUCCUUUAAUUAUUAGCCUUUGAAAAACACUUCCCUGUAACACAUCACACAUGACUGAUAAUGCAGAAAGACAAGAAGAAAAUAGCCCUUCAGAGACUCAGCCAUGGUUAUGUGACCAUUCUACCUCUGGAAAAGAAUGUACAAAAGUGGUUUUUCUGAGAGUUGAUAGAAGCCAUCUUUUCUAAGAGAACCUGAGCCCUCCAAAGCAUAUUAAAGAAAAAGAUGUUCAGACAAACAGGCCAUUGAUGUCUUGCAUUAGAAGAGAAUUACAAGGUCAGUUAGAAACACAGUGUGUCAAAUUUAUUUCAUACCUUCUAACAACUAGGAUAAUCAUUGUGGCUAACUUUAGUUGAAUGUUGAAGGAAAGUAUAAAACUUCACACAGAAUAGUUUAAAGCCUUUGAACAAAAGAAAAGGGAAUUAGUUUAGGGAACAAGUUUAACUAUGAUCAUACAUCAAAUACAUUCUCUCCGAGAAAAUAAUUUUAAAAAUCUAGUAUCUGUCCACAUUAAAGACCUGAAUAAAAGCACAAUAAAGCAAAGCCCAUAACAGAGCAUGCUAAAUUAUGCAUGAUGUUUUGUAGAAUUCCUAAUUCAUGUGUUACACAUGCAUUCUUUCUAUUGUGCAUUAUACUGUUCUCAAAAACAGAGAAUUCAAUCUAAUUAUGAAUGAUGAGAAGAGAUUUACCUUCUGUUUCUCUUUUUCCCCCACCCCUACCCCUUAGUUGUCUGUGCCUUGGCAAGAGAAAUUAUUAAUCUACUAGUAACAAGAAAUAGAAACUAAUCUUUAGUCCUUUUGCUAACAUGGAGGUAGCUUUUCACCUUUGAAAGGUAAUUAAUUUGCUAAACUGAACAAAAGGGAAGUUAUUGUAUGCUGAAAGACAAGUGGGAGUCCAUACUAGUAAAUUUGACCCAAUACCAUCUUACUUAAAUUUCCAGUACUUUUCAAUGAAACUGGGAUCUGUAAGUGAAAAGAGUAAUGAAGGUGUCCUUGAAAAGACUAAUCUAUUUGCUGUGGUCCCCCAGAUUCUCAAUUGGAGAGUCCCGUUAUGAUUUCAUAUCUUUUCCAUAGCCGUGAUAACGGCCUCCCCGUUUCUACUUCUUUCUCAUAUUCUGAGCUCUUCCUAAUGUCCCACCCCCUCCUUUAUCCCCAGGGAGAGAGGAAGAACAGAUAACAUUGAGGUUGGGAAGUGGGGAGUGAGAAUGUGAAAGGAGCAUGCCUGAGCUGGUCCUAGACAGGCCUCCAGCGUCCAGCCUUCUCCAAAUACCAAGGGACUCCCAGGCAUGCCCAGAUGGCACUGCCACAUCAAGGAUGUUUAAUAUCAACAAUAUUGCACUUGGAGAAUUGGUGAUAGUGAACUCUGGAAUCAGGCUGCUCAAGUUCAAACACUGACUUUCAAACUCUGCUUUAUCUCACCACCUGAGAUUCUUCAUUGGUAUAAUUGUAGCAUUUCCCUCAAAGAGUGGUUCUGAGGAUCUGUACAUAGUGCAUAUGUGGCACAAUGCCAAGCACAUAAUGAGUCCUUCAUAAAUAUUGGCUAUUGUUAUUACCUAUUGAGCUCUUACUAUGUGCCAAGGGUUUUAUCUGAUUAUCCCAAAACUUCCAGAGUAAUUACGAUGAACUACAUGUUAUGAAAGAGACUCAGAGAAGUAACUUUUUUACAUGCCUCAUUAAUGACCAGUGAGGGACUGUAUGACCCCCAACACAAGAGAAGCUCAAUCUAGAUCAUUGCUAUAGGAUUUCAAACUAUCCUCAUUUGCGUUUUCAGUACUAGAAUCAACUGAGGACCGUUCCCUCUUCUUGAAGUGAAAGCAUGGUAUUCCUAAAAUAAUGACAGCAACUUUGAACAUCAGUAUUAUCAUUGUGCCCAUUUUACAGUUGAGGAAAACUGAGAAACAAAGAACUCAUCUGACUUUCUCCAUGACGCAGAGUCCCACUCAUGCCAGUUUUUCUAACUGCAAACUCCACAUUCUACCCAUGAUACUGCUUUUCCGACUUCUUCUCAAGGGGGAUUGAUCGGCACUCUCUGAAAUUCCCAGAUGCUCCCCAAAAAAGAUUUUUCUAAAGGCUGGCCAAAGUGGACCAUAAAAAGAAAAAAGAAGUACAUUCUCCAUUUUCUGUUCCCUGAGGUGUAGGGAAAGUGGGUUUCAAAUAUCCAGUGAGGAGCAUUUCACCAUCUUUCUGCCAAGAGAUAUUAUCAACAAAAGUAUUCAAUGUCUAGGGAAAAUCAUGGCCUUUACAAAAAAGCUUGCAAGCUUCUUUUGUAAAGAUUAAGACUAGCUAUCUUUGCUGCUAAGCUCUUUCCUGUUGCAAAGAUGUCACCAUUAACUUUUCCUACAUGUUUGGGAAGAAAAAUCUUUGAGAAUAUUUUCCUUUUUGUCUAGCUGACUGAAAAAACAAACAAACAAAAAAAAAAACCCUGCAAAUGUUACCCUUUGCAGCAUGAGGGUUCAAGGGUCCAUCUGGACCUGUGGCUAUCUGAGGCAUUGUGGGACUCUUUUCCAUGCAGACAAUGCAUGAAUACCCAGGAAUUAUGUGACCCCAUUGUAAACAUCACUGAAACAGGAUGCAGUUGCUUGGUGGCCCCCAGAGAUCCCGUAUGUUGCCACUUGUAAAAUGUGCAUUGUCACAAGUGUUAAAAAACCACCACUGUCAGUGUUACGUGCUUGCAUAAGCCUCCAUUGUAUGAGAUCAAGGGGUUAAGGGCAAACCAGAACCCAGCACAGCUUCUAUACAGAUGUUUGAGUUGCCAUUGGCUUCAAGACUGAUUACAUCCAACAAACAGAGGCCCAUAACAGUUAACACCAGUGAUUGAGACAGUUCAAGUAAACAGCUCAAUUUUGCCUUAACCCUGUAUAUUUUAAGAGUAUGAAUUUAGAACUGAUACCGGGUUAGAGAAAAGAUAAUAGCAUAUAGAAAGAACAUUACAGGUUGUUCUAGCAACUUCCAUCUUAAGUGCUUACGGAAGGAAUCUUCCGAAUAGCUUCUUGGACUUCAUAGGAGAUUUCUCUACCAUUUCAAAUGCUGGUAAAGAAAGAGGUUGAGGAUGCAGGAUGAACACUCUUCUUUGGAACAAAGAUCCUGCAGUUCGCCAGAACAUCUUUUGUUCAUCCAGGAACCCAAUCGCAGGGGCAGGACAUCUGGGUGCAUAGUCUCAACAAAAGCUGUUUUUAGAAACUGUGUUUGCUGUGUAUGUGUAGGGCAUGUGGAAUGGGGGCUAGGGAAGUCUGUCUUAUUUUCUCCCCAAGACAUUACCUGUGAAAUCUGGGACUAUAGUGAAGAACUUUAUCUCCCUCCUCUUUCCAUUUCCUUUUUUGUUUGUUUGUUUAUACCUCAGCAUUGCUAACUUGGAUUUUAGAACAGCAUGGUGAUAGGUUGUGGCUGUUGAGGUAUACAAUUCCCUUGACCAUUUUCUUCUUUCCUUCUAUAAGGAAAAUUUAAUGGAAGUAUCAUCCAUGAAAACUUUAUUUAGAUAUAUGUCUUCCUACCCUGAAUACUCUCUUUCUGUAAGAUUACAAACAUAAUGUCUAUCCCUCCAGGUUCAUUUUCUCAGCAAAUAGCUUUGUUUCUUUCCUUCAAAAACCAUUAGUAUUUUAUACAUGGUUCCAUCACUACUAUUUUUAACACAGCUGUUCCCUUUAACUCUCAAUAUUAUAAUGUUAACCAAAUUAGUAGGCACUGGGAGGCACAGAUUUUAUUAUAUUCGGUGUUUAUGUGUGAAACAACCACAAUUUCCAUUUAGUUUAUAAUAUACUAGUUUAUUAUGUGAUUAUGAAGUUUUGCUUUCUAGUCAAAAAUACUUAAAGGUUAUAUUCAUCCUCUCUCUCUCUUUUUCUUUCUCAGGCACAGAAAUCCUGGAUAGAAAGAGCAUUUUAUAAAAGAGAAUGUGUUCACAUCAUACCCAGCACCAAAGACCCCCAUAGGUAAAUAUAUAAUCUUAUUGUGUCUAAUGUAUCAAGAAUACCCAUUGCAGGGGACGAUGUCAAAGUAAAUAUCUUUUGUUGUAGUUGUUAUUAUUGCUGGACAUUUUCAAAGCAAUCGUGUGUGUGUGUGUGUGUGUGUGUGUGUAUGCCCUAUAUAACAUGCCAUAUUUACAGUUAAUUCUGAAUUUAAGAGACUUCACAGAAUAGCAGAUAUACUGUUGCAGAAGGAACUAAUCACUGUAUAUAACACUGAGCUAUAUAUAUUUUUGCUAUGGUUACUGGUUCUUCCUUCUAAGCAUUUUGUUAAAAUGCUUAGUUCAUACCAACAUGCUCCACUCUAGUAAAAAAGAUGCUUUAAAAUUAAAAAAAAAAAAUCCUAGCAAAUUACUGAUGUGUGACUGCAGAACUUUAGAAUUCUUGGCACAUUUUUUUGGUACUUCCUUACCUUCCUGAAGAUCAACAGUAUGUAAGGCAGAAAGCAUUUGGAAUAAAGUAGCACAUCCAUGUCUAAGAUGCUUUUAUAAGCUGGCAAUAUAAUAAAACAGUUUAAAGUAUAGAUCAUGCCAUCAUAAAGACUCCUUUAUAACCUUGAACAAAUCACCUGACUUUCAAAUAUUUCAUCAUAGAAUGGAUGAUGAAUUGUUAGUGUUUAAUAAAUGGUAGUUUCAUGUUAUAUCUAUUAAUACUAAUAAUUGUCACAGAGGUAGUAGUAGUGCAUGAAGGACAUUUUCAUUGUCAAAGGAACAAAUUUGAACUUUUCAAAUAUCUCAUGAGUAUUUUCUUUCUUGUUUCUUCAAGAACACUUAACUCUGCAGAUUUUUCUUCUUGGAAUUGGAUAUUUGACAGCAAAUAUCAAUUGGAGAGAGACUAGUUAGGUUGUGACUCACGUAUAAGUGAGAUUCCUCAUUUAAAUGAGCAUGUUAAAAUUCUUCCCUCAAAGCUCUUCAGUAUUCUUCGUGUAAUACUUGAUAGCUGGGAGGAACAAGAAUUAGAAAAAUUCUAGGGAACUUUUUUGUUCAUAGGUGUCUUAUCCUAAACAAUAUGCCAGGUGGGAAAGGUGUGGCUGGAGAAGGCAGGAUGCAUGUUGUAGCUUUUAUCACUAAAGCAAAGUGGGGAAAGAAGAGGAGAAAAGGAGAUAUGUUUGUCAUAUGGAGCCAGAGUUUGCAUUUGCCUAAUAUAAGAAUAUAACAUAAUAUAAUAAUAAUUCGAGGAUUUUACCUAAGAAUUGACUGAAAUGGGUCAAUAUGAACUGCAGGUUUCUGCAGCAGUUGCUUAUGUAUUCCAAUAGUGGCUCACACAAGGGGUUCACUUUAACCUCUUAUGUUAUAGGUGUUGCUGUGGGCGUCUAAUAGGCCAGCAUGUCGGACUCACUCCCAGUAUCUCUGUGCUUCAGAAUGAGAAAAAUGAAAGUCGCCUCUCCCGAAAUGACAUCCAGUCUGAGAAGUGGUCCAUCAGCAAACACACUCAGCUCAGCCCAACGGAUGCUUUUGGGACCAUUGAGUUCCAAGGAGGUGGCCAUUCCAACAAAGCCAUGGUAAUCAAAAAGCAGCACUCCCCAGGGCAACCUCCUGCCCUGCAGAGGAAUGGUGAAGCCCCUGAGAUUUAGUCUUGUGGCUUCAUCUCAGCCCUGCCACUCUCUGGUGGGGCAACCUGCUCUAAUUAUCUUCCCCUGCAGGGGGGGAAUUUUUCC